rnacentral:rRNA from 1 species
UCUGAUCUCAGAUCAAGCAAGAAGACCCGCCGAAUUUAAGCAUAUAAUUAAGCGGAGGAAAAGAAACUAACCAGGAUUCCCCUAGUAAGGGCGACUGAAGCGGGAAUAGCUCACGAUGUGAAUCAGCGCUGCUUUGUGGCGCCGAAUUGUGGUCUGAAAACGUUUGCAUUACUGGCGGGGCCAAGUCCCUUGGAACAGGGCAGCCGAGAGGGUGAGACUCCCGUGUGCCCUGCCUUUGGAGCGAGCGUUUGACGAGUCGAGUUGUUUGGGAUUGCAGCUCUAAGUGGGUGGUAAAUUCCAUCU